rfam:Oryza meridionalis cultivar OR44 (W2112) chromosome 6, whole genome shotgun sequence.
GAUAAAUGUAGUUUUGUACUGUUCGUAUCCAACUUUAUCCAUUCAUCUUAGAAAAUUUAUAUGAUUAGUAUUUGUUUUGUUAUUAGACGAUAAAACAGAAAUAAUACUUUAUGCGUGAUUAUUUUUUUAAUUUUUUAAUAAAAUUUUCAAAUAAGACGGAGUCAAAAGUUGGACACGGAUACCCACGGUUGUACUUAUU